UGGAGGAAAGCAGGGGAUCGUAAGACCUUGCGCUUUUGGAGUGGCCGAUGCCUGAUUAGCUAGUUGGUGGGGUAAGGGCCUACCAAGGCAACGAUCAGUAGUUGGUCUGAGAGGACGACCAGCCACACUGGGACUGAGACACGGCCCAGACUCCUACGGGAGGCAGCAGUGGGGAAUUUUGGACAAUGGGCGAAAGCCUGAUCCAGCAAUGCCGCGUGAGUGAAGAAGGCCUUCGGGUUGUAAAGCUCUUUCAGUCGAGAAGAAAAGGUUGUGACUAAUAAUCGCAACUUAUGACGGUACCGACAGAAGAAGCACCGGCUAACUACGUGCCAGCAGCCGCGGUAAUACGUAGGGUGCGAGCGUUAAUCGGAAUUACUGGGCGUAAAGGGUGCGCAGGCGGCUUUGUAAGUCAGAUGUGA
rnacentral:rRNA from 1 species